AAAUGCACCGGCCCCCGCCACAACAUCGUUGCGAAUUGCAAGGAUAUGGCAUAGCUAGUAUUGAGAAGUGAUUAUGGACAGGGUGCUAAGGGCGUGUAACCGACAAAAGGCUUACCGCUUCGAAAUUCGACAUCCGACGCAUCAUGGGGGAACAUCAUGAUAUUCAUUGUAGAGAUUUCAUUAAACAUGCUUGGACUUGCAGUCGACCAGGCUACCUCUCCCCAUUAAUCCGUUUUUGUGUACGACACGGAUUAACUCUCGAGAAAUGAUAAGAUCACUUUUUCCGUAUUCCAUUAAGAUGUUGUUGUGUUAGCGACGCUUUGCAUAUUAGACGACGGGAUGGCUGAAGGUCACGCUGUUUCCACUCAGACUGUGAUAUCUCUUCUGCUGAUUUGCAUGAGCACGCGAGCAAGUCGAAUAAACGCUCGAAGAUACACGAUGUUAUUGCAAUAGCAAGCAUUUGCAUAUAAGACAACUCGUUGGAUAAAGGUCGUACCUUUUUACUCUAGCCGGUGUCGCCUUUGCAACUCGAAGACAGGAAAAAUAAUUACUAUGCGAUACAUGUUGCGCCGCAGGAAAAAGAAGAAGAAAAAAAGACGCAGUAUACUAAUGACAGCUACCUCCAUGCUGACUGCUUUGAUUUCUGAACAGAGCGAGCCAGCCCGGGUAAAGCCGUAAUUACCUCUCAAGGAUAAACGAUAAUAUCACUUUCCUCAUCACGUCUUUGGGGCGAGACGGUCGACGCUGCAGUCUCAUAGGCAAACGAAGCGACUUCUAUAUAAGACGGUUCGUCCGCAACGCUUUCCGGACUGAGCUGGAAUGCCAAGUGAAUGCCACUUGAUUGUUUUCAGGUGGAUUCACUUGACAUUCCAGCUCAGGUUUUUCCGUGCGGGUGUUUGACUGGAAAAGCAGACUAAGUUCAUCUUCCUUCUUUUGCUGUAACUACUCCGAGGAGGUUGAAGGGAAGAGUUUGAGAUCUUCCUUGACAACAAGGCAAAAAUGUGUGCUAUACAAUGGAGAAGAGGUGGAAAACUUUUUUUUUUCAAGUUAAUCCACUCGGGAUUCCAGAUGAAGAUUUUUUCUUCGUGAGAGUGUUUGACUGGAAAGACAGACUGUGGAGACGUGUUUGAGACGACACACAGGCUGCAUCCGAAAUUCGUGUGUGUAACCUCUUCUCCAUCUGCCACACACAUCUCCACCUAGCACAGGCUGCUCUUCAUCUGCGUCUGAUGAUGACGACCAUGCGCCAUCAAGCCGAGGAUCAACCUCAGGCCAUGUUGUGUCAUCGGCGGCUGACUUGUCUUGACUGGUCAUUACAAACCAAGUUCAUUCUAUACAGCAAGAGGAGAAAGCAAAUUGUCAUCAUAACAGCGAAGCCUCCAUAACACAAGUAAGCUAUGUCAUCCAUCAUGGAAAAGUUGGAUAAACUGAAAAAAUGUGGUGACGGUGAAAUUCAGAAAAUGAGCAACAUACCCAAAAACGAAAAGUUCGAAGUGCUGGACAUUCAGAAAAUUGACACUAUGUAUGGCGAGGCAGUAUACGUGGAGCUCCGCAUGGAAAACGACAAGCCAGUGAAAGUGUAUCUACCUGGACGCUUCAAAAAAUUGUCGGAGGAAGAGCUAGAGGAAAUGCGACUGCUUCCAAAUCUCAAAAUGGAGAAGAAAGAACGGUUUACCAAAGAUGGUAAAAAAGUCAUUUCGCCAGAUAUUAUCUUCACCAAUUCGAAGAGAAAGUGAUGAGAUAUGGUGACGUGUCACUUAUGCUCCCAGCACGAACGGCAGUAUUAUGCAACAGCAUUAGGUCUUCAGAUUCACUUGGCAAAUGUUCACAAUCUUCAAGCCCCCUGCAUUCCUUUUUGUGAGACUUUGUGCACACUGCGAAACUAUACUAAUCGGUUCGAGCUACAUUUACACGACAGGGACGUUAGCGGACAUAAUGUUACAACCUUUUU